UACGUAGGGGGCGAGCGUUGUCCGGAGUUACUGGGCGCAAAGCGCACGCAGGCGGUGCGGUAAGUUUCGAGUGACAGGUGGUGGCUUAACUGCCACAGGACUCGGAAAACUGCUGCACUUGAGGGCUUGAGAGGGACGCGGAAUUCCAGGUGGAGCGGUGAAAUGCGUAGAGAUCUGGAAGAACACCAAAGGCGAAGGCAGCGUCCUGGCAAGUCACUGACGCUCAGGUGCGAAAGCUAGGGGAGCGAACGGG
rnacentral:rRNA from 1 species